GAUUCUUAUUGAUCCUUGCUGAAUUCUUUUUAUCAUUAUUUACCAUUAACGAAGUCUUUGUUCGUGAAAGAGCUGCUUUGACGGUUUCGUUUUUCUGUUUCCAGGUUUACCAUUGGUCAUCUGAACAAAGUUUCCGAAGCGGACUGCAAAUGGUUCCAUGCCCAAGAAUCCGGAAAUGGAUGCGGCGGUGCGAAUGUAGUGCUGAAAUGGCUAAAUUGGCCUUGGCCGUUUUCGCUGUGCCCGGACUUCGUCCAAGUCGCGAUAGAGUUACUUGACUACUGUCUCAAAGCCGCCGACCCAGGUGGCUGCGGUAAUGGCUCAGAUGCGGGUGCGAAACUGCGGAGUGAUAGUAUAACCUCUCAGUGUUGGCUGUACGGCAAGAAGAAGGAGAAAGAGGAGGACAAAUGGUUCAGCGUGAUAGUUCUGUCUCUGGACGAGGCCUGGACCAAAAUCCGCCACGAUCCAAACCUCAAAACUCAGCUUCCGAAACUCACGCUUACGUUCCUCAACUUCCUCUUCAAUUCCGACUGGAAACUCUCGGAGGCAGUAGUUACCCUGAAAAAAGUGUUGGACGAUGAGUCAUCAAAGGAAAUAGACAAAGAACAAUUUGCAGUCAUGUUCUGCCAA
rnacentral:lncRNA from 1 species